GACGAACGCUGGCGGCGUGCUUAAUACAUGCAAGUCGAACGGAAAGGCGAUGCGCUUGCUGGGUGCUCGAGUGGCGAACGGGUGAGUAACACGCGAGUAACCUGCCCUUGAAUUUGGGAGAAAUUCAGGAAACUGGGGCGAAUACCGGAUAGGAGCUCCUGCUGCAUGGUGGGGGUUGGAAAGUUUCGGCGGUUGUGGAUGGACUCGCGGCUUAUCAGCUUGUUGGUGGGGUAGUGGCUUACAAAGGCUUUGACGGGUAGCCGGCCUGAGAGGGUGAACGGGCACCAUGGGCCUGAGGUACGGACCAGACUGCUACCGGAGGCAGCAGUGGGGAGUAUUGCACAAUGAGGCGGCGCGAGUUGCAGCAAUGUCGCGUGCGUGAUGCCGGCCUUCUGGGUGAGAACAGAUGUGGCAUGUAAUGAGGCCGGCGUGACGGUACCGGGUAAAGAAGCACCGGCUAACUACGUG
rnacentral:rRNA from 1 species